GGGGUACUUAAAUUAGUCGAACUAAUUUUCUAGUUAGCAUGGAUCAAUCUCUAAUCAUUAAGCAAUCUGAUCAAAACAUGAUUCAUUAUGUUGGCUCGGUAAGUGAAAUCGAUGAGAGAAAUAUGCCAUUAACUCAUCAUAGACUCAAUCUAUACGAGUAGCUUCCAAUUAAUGACCAUCGGUCAAGACUGCCAAACUUACCUUAGACACCAACUAGCUAAUCAAUUUCAACUCAAUGAAC
rnacentral:lncRNA from 1 species